rnacentral:rRNA from 1 species
GAUGAACGCUGGCGGCGUGCCUAAUACAUGCAAGUCGAGCGAACGGACGAGAAGCUUGCUUCUCUGAUGUUAGCGGCGGACGGGUGAGUAACAUGUGGAUAACCUACCUAUAGGACUGGGAUAACUUCGGGAAACCGGAGCUAAUACCGGAUGAUAUUUUGAACCGCAUGGUUCAAAAGUGAAAGACGGUCUUGCUGUCACUUAUAGAUGGAUCCGCGCUGCAGUAGCGAGUUGGUAAGGUAACGGCUUACCAAGGCAACGAUGCAUAGCCGACCUGAGAGGGUGAUCGGCCACACGGGAACUGAGACACGGUCCAGACUCCUACGGGAGGCGGCAGUAGGGAAUCUUGCGGCAGGGGCGAAAGCCUGACGGAGCAACGCCGCGUGAGUGAUGAAGGUCUCCGGAUCGUAAAACUCUGUUAUUAGGGAAGACCAUAUGUGUAAGUAACUGUGCACAUCUUGACGGUACCUAAACAGAAAGCCACGGCUAACUACGUG